UACAGAGGUCUCAAGCGUUGUUCGGAUUUACUGGGCGUAAAGGGCGCGUAGGCGGUUUAGUGAGUGUGAUGUGAAAGCCCCGGGCUUAACCUGGGAAGUGCAUCGCAAACGACUAAACUGGAGUAGGUGAGAGGGUGGCGGAAUUUCCGGUGUAGCGGUGAAAUGCGUAGAGAUCGGAAGGAACGUCAAUGGCGAAGGCAGCCACCUGGCACCAUACUGACGCUGAGGCGCGAAAGCGUGGGGAGCGAACAGG
rnacentral:rRNA from 1 species